GCCGCUUUGCGUGCCCAGCCCCGUUUGCCCAGGCUGCCCGACUCUGCGGCCCGCUGCAGCGCCGUGUGGAACUCCGCAGCGCGUCCGUGUGGAGCCGCCUCAGAAGACGGAGGGAGCCGCGUGUGGAACCGGGAGGCAGGAAUGCGCAGGAAGA